rnacentral:rRNA from 1 species
AUUGAACGCUGGCGGCAGGCCUAACACAUGCAAGUCGAGCGGUAACACAGGGAGCUUGCUCCCGGGUGACGAGCGGCGGACGGGUGAGUAAUGUCUGGGAAACUGCCUGAUGGAGGGGGAUAACUACUGGAAACGGUAGCUAAUACCGCAUAACGUCGCAAGACCAAAGAGGGGGACCUUCGGGCCUCUUGCCAUCAGAUGUGCCCAGAUGGGAUUAGCUAGUAGGUGGGGUAAUGGAUCACCUAGGCGACGAUCCCUAGCUGGUCUGAGAGGAGGACCAGGCACACGGGAACUGAGACACGGACCAGACUCCUACGGGAGGCAGAGGUGGGGAAAAUUGCACAAUGGGCGCAAGCCUGAUGCAGCCAUGCCGCGUGUAUGAAGAAGGCCUUCGGGUUGUAAAGUUCUUUCAGCGGGGAGGAAGGUGUUGAAGUUAAUAACCUCAGCAAUUGACGUUACCCGCAGAAGAAGCACCGGCUAACUCCGUGCCAGCCGCCGCCGUAA